GUGGGGAAUAUUGCACAAUGGGGGAAACCCUGAUGCAGCCAUGCCGCGUGUGUGAAGAAGGCCUUCGGGUUGUAAAGCACUUUCAGCGAGGAGGAAAGGUUGAUGCCUAAUACGUAUCAACUGUGACGUUACUCGCAGAAGAAGCACCGGCUAACUCCGUGCCAGCAGCCGCGGUAAUACGGAGGGUGCAAGCGUUAAUCGGAAUUACUGGGCGUAAAGCGCACGCAGGCGGUUGGAUAAGUUAGAUGUGAAAGCCCCGGGCUCAACCUGGGAAUUGCAUUUAAAACUGUCCAGCUAGAGUCUUGUAGAGGGGGGUGGAAUUCCAGGUGUAGCGGUGAAAUGCGUAGAGAUCUGGAGGAAUACCGGUGGCGAAGGCGGCCCCCUGGACAAAGACUGACGCUCAGGUGCGAAAGCGUGGGGAGCAAACAGGAUUAGAUACCCCGGUAGUCC
rnacentral:rRNA from 1 species